rnacentral:rRNA from 1 species
UACGAAGGGGGCGAGCGUUGUUCGGAAUUAUUGGGCGUAAAGGGCGCGUAGGCGGCUUUGCAAGUGACGGGUGAAAUCCCUCGGCUUAACCGAGGAACUGCCUGUCAAACUGCAUGGCUUGAGACCGGGAGAGGUGAGUGGAAUUCCCAGUGUAGCGGUGAAAUGCGUAGAUAUUGGGAGGAACACCAGUGGCGAAGGCGGCUCACUGGACCGGUACUGACGCUGAUGCGCGAAAGCGUGGGGAGCAAACAGG